rnacentral:tRNA from 1 species
GCGGCGGGUAGGCAAGGGGCCGUUCGUCUGUCAGAGGGUCGGUUGCCUGAAGCACGACCUCAUGUGAUCCUUGCGCGCCCCGCCCCU